CGCGCUCGGGAUAGAGCACGAGCCCGUCGCCCGCAACCACCGCACCUUGCCUUUGGGGAUAAGGCUUAUCCCUUGCUCCCGAGCCCUCUCUCCGCGCCUAUAAGAAGCCCUCGGCCCCCUCUCUCCAUUCUGCCACUUCGCUCCUCCUCACGCCGCUCACAUCGCUCGCCCCGUUCAUUUGGAUCUCGCCGCCGGAGCUACCUUGCCGCUUCGUUCUGCCAUCCGGACCGCCGGAGACGCCGCCUCGACGAAGCCUGAUUUCGCCGGAGCACCGGAGCUCCGCCGCCUCCCUCCGCCCCGUCCGGCGCACGCCGACGCCCGCCGUCACCACCAUUUGGUCGCCCGCACCACGACGGUCCCCUUCGCCUUCUUCCCCGCCGCCGGAGACCACCACAGCCGCCGCCCCAUCACCGCCCGAUGCCGGCGCCGCCAUCUCCUGCUCGUCAACAUCACCGCUAUUUUCGUCGGAGAGUGACGAAUAGUUCUAUUAAGUAAAAUUUCUGAGAGCGAUAUAAUCUUCAUCAACUAUUAUCAGGCAAGUUCACAUCUGACCAUUCUUCCAAUUACCUAUGUUGAUAUUAUGCACUUAGUCAUUUUGUGGUAGGAUUGCAUGGUAGGACUUAUUGUUGCUAGAUGGCUAUGCCGUUACCUAGUAGUUCAUUUGAGGUAGGUCUGAUCUAUACAUCCUUGUCACCACCGUGUAAGUUUAUUUUUGCCUCGCUAAAUGUAGACGUGGUUUGGGAAGCGAACAUGGUGAGACAUGAGUGAAAAAGUAGUAAGAAGGACCAAGACUUGUAAAUGAACUACCUGGGCGGUAUUUAGUUUGAAUGGUGGCGAAGUACAGUGGGAGCAUGCAUGGUUAAUCCAUGGUGGUGCACCACUAGUGGUCGGCCGCCCAGGCUCAAAGAGAUCAAUCAUAUUCUCAUGUCUAGAAGCUUACGUGUGCAACCACAAGCCAAUAUGGGCUCUGGCUUAGUUGAGUAGUUAGUGUGACCCCUUUCGGGAUGGGCUAGCAGAUGUAGAAUGAGUAGGUGUACCGGCCUAUCCGUGGGUUAAGGGGAAAUACUUUCGAAAGACUAUGUCUCGGUCAUCCUGUUAUCAAACACCAGGCAGUGCAAGAAUUUCAAGGGAGGCGAUCGAGUCUUGUGGGGAAAAGUGCGCAAACCUCUGCAGAGUGUUAAAACCUAAUCGAUUAGCCGUGUCCCCGGUUACGGACAACUUGAGCAUCUAGUAGUGAAAAUGCCGGGAGAUCUCCUCACCUUUAAUUAAACAAUUGGGUUUUAAAUGAAACUUGGGAUUGGAUUGAGUUGGGUUUGCCAACUCAUCCUAUGCUAUACUGUAGUGAUAGAAUAAUAUAUUUUAUUCUAGGGAAAAACUAGCUUUAUGCAAAAACUAAACUUAGAGCUUUCCACCAACCAAAUUGCAUGUACAAAUAGGUUCAUUAUUCUUAUGAUGUGACUUGCCAGUACAUUCAAUGUACUGACCUACAGGGCUGCAACGUCUUAUGUUGCAGGAAUUUCUACGACGAGUAAGAGUUACGUUGUAGGGUUACGGUCUACACUCAACUUGCCGUUGGCGUUGAUGGGACUCCACACCCGUUCGAUUGUUUCCGCUGUGAUUUAUGAGGUAUAUAUCAGUUUUACGUUAUUUAUACAUGUGAUUGCACUUUGAUAUAUACAUCGAUGUACUGUGCGUGCCAGCAUACCGAUCCAGGGAUGGCACAGAUACACAGA